rnacentral:lncRNA from 1 species
GCCAAGUUCUCUGAUCUCUUACAUAGAAAACUGAAAACAUAGAGCAAAAACUAAAAAUGCUGGGUCUACAAUGAGGAGUAAUAUUGAAAGGGUCCUUUCAGCUAAUGUCAAACACACAUUUUUAAAAAUCCUUUAUUAACAUGUACUGCAAUCAUUAUAGUUAUCCUUUGGAUUUGAAUAGAAAUUAGAAUAAAAGACCAAUACUAAUAAUAAAAUGCAAGACCAAGACAUCCUUAAAAGUCAGACUCAUGUCUGAUCAGUAUAUCUGGCAGAAGACAUCGUGGCAAUCAUGCAAAAACUUGAGUUCAUCAUUUAAAAUUGAAAUGAAAAAUAAACAGCUAAAACUAGGGAGUUUUUGUACAUGUAAUGAAAACAGUCAUUUCACGAUCACACUUGAGAAACAUUCAAUUUUACAUUAAAGUAUGUUUUGGACAACUUCCUUUACAGCUCUUCCAGCCAGCGUGAGGGCCUCAAGCACAGGCGCAUGUUCCGCCAUUUUGUGCCUUGUCAGGAGGAGGCACCUUGGGGUCCUUCGCAGCCAUCCCUGUUUUUCCUUCUGCAAGGAACACAAGUCAAGGCUUAACACAUUUGGGUGCAAAUGCCAGCGUGGUGCCACAGAAGAGCACUAACAGGCUUGAGAGAAAGGAGAAUAGCUGAUUCAUGCUGGGAGAAAAUCUCUGCCUGCCCUCUGGCAGGUGAUGAGGAGAGGAUGGGGAUAAACCUUUGAUGGAAGAUGGAACAGGGUAUAUCCACUCAAAGGCUUUGCAAUUUAAUUUAUGUCUAAUUUGAUGAGCA